GACCCUUCGGGGAGCCUAUACAGGUGUCGCAUGGCUGUCGUCAGCUCGUGUCGUGAGAUGUCGGUUAAGUCCGCUAACGAGCGCAACCCUCGUCGUAUGUUAUAUGUGUCAUACGAGACUGCCGGUAAAAGCCGGAGGAAGGUGAGGAUGAUGUCAAGUCAGCAUGACCUUUAUAUCCAGGGCUACACACACGCUACAAUGGUCUGUACAAUGGGUAGCCAAGCCGCGAGGCGGAGCCAAUCCUGAAGCAGGCCUCAGUUCAGAUUGCAGUCUGCAACUCGACUGCAUGAAGCCGGAGUUGCUAGUAACCGCAGGUCAGCAAUACUGCGGUGAAUACGUUCCCGGGUCUU
rnacentral:rRNA from 1 species